UGCAAGUCGAGCGGACAGAAUGGGAGCUUGCUCCCUGAUGUUAGCGGCGGACGGGUGAGUAACACGUGGGUAACCUGCCUGUAAGACUGGGAUAACUCCGGGAAACCGGGGCUAAUACCGGAUGGUUGUUUGAACCGCAUGGUUCAAACAUAAAAGGUGGCUUCGGCUACCACUUACAGAUGGACCCGCGGCGCAUUAGCUAGUUGGUGAGGUAACGGCUCACCAAGGCGACGAUGCGUAGCCGACCUGAGAGGGUGAUCGGCCACACUGGGACUGAGACACGGCCCAGACUCCUACGGGAGGCAGCAGUAGGGAAUCUUCCGCAAUGGACGAAAGUCUGACGGAGCAACGCCGCGUGAGUGAUGAAGGUUUUCGGAUCGUAAAGCUCUGUUGUUAGGGAAGAACAAGUACCGUUCGAAUAGGGCGGUACCUUGACGGUACCUAACCAGAAAGCCACGGCUAACUACGUGCCAGCAGCCCGCGGUAAA
rnacentral:rRNA from 1 species